rnacentral:ribozyme from 1 species
UACUCAGCAACUCCUAUCCCUACCUCCGCGUGGUGCCGGCUGGAAACUACGAGCAACCUUAGGGAAUAUCGGGUAACCAACCCCGCCCCAAUGGAAACGUUGGUCGUAAGCUGACAGGGAAGG